GCGGCCGUCGUCUAGCUGGUUAGGACACAGAUAUAAAAAGCCUGCGAUCCCGGGUUCGAAUCCCGGCGGCCGCACCA
rnacentral:tRNA from 1 species